rnacentral:sRNA from 1 species
CCGUUUGUUUCCCUGUUGUCGCCCGCUUCACCCUGGAUCAUGUUCAAGAAGUUUGAUGAAAAGGAAAGUGUGUCCAACUGCAUCCAGUUGAAAACGUCAGUUAUUAAGGGCAUUAAGAGCCAACUGGUAGAGCAAUUUCCAGGGCCCCCCACAAAAGCAGCCUCGGGGACUCCGGCCUUUCCUUGAGACCUGCAUCUCUUCCCUUCUUCAUCGCCUGCUAGUGAACUGAGACUGCCGCUAACCUUCUUCAUCCUUUGGUGGCAAAGUAGAAAGAUUCCAGAAUUAACUCGACCUUUCUAAAGACCUGGGCUCAGUGGCAGCUGGCACUGACUGAGCACCCGCUAUGUGCCAGGCACUGUGCUGAAUGCAUUGUAAGGACUGUCUUACUUAUUCCCCCACAGCAGCCCUAAGAAGGGGUGCUGUUAUCCCCUUUUUACAGAUAAGAAAACUGAAGCUCAGAGAGGGCACUGCCUUCCCCAAGGUCACCCAGCUACAAGUAACAAAGCCUGUGCUUCUAACACCAAAGACCACUUCCCGCUGAUACUGUGCCAGGCUUAGAUCAUCAAUUACGAAUUUGACACCAAGGACCUGGUGUGCCUGGGCCUGAGCAGCAUCGUUGGCGUCUGGUACCUGCUGAGGAAGCACUGGAUUGCCAACAACCUUUUUGGCCUGGCCUUCUCCCUUAAUGGAGUAGAGCUCCUGCACCUCAACAAUGUCAGCACUGGCUGCAUCCUGCUGGGCGGACUCUUCAUCUACGAUGUCUUCUGGGUAUUUGGCACCAAUGUGAUGGUGACAGUGGCCAAGUCCUUCGAGGCACCAAUAAAAUUGGUGUUUCCCCAGGAUCUGCUGGAGAAAGGCCUCGAAGCAAACAACUUUGCCAUGCUGGGACUUGGAGAUGUCGUCAUU